GCAAGUCGAGCGCGAAAACACUUCGGUGUGAGUAGAGCGGCGGACGGGUGAGUAACGCGUAGGAAUCUACCCAGUAGUGGGGGACAACAGUCGGAAACGGCUGCUAAUACCGCAUACGCCCUAAGGGGGAAAGCGGGGGCCAUUAGGCCUCGCGUUAUUGGAUGAGCCUGCGUAGGAUUAGCUUGUUGGUGAGGUAAAGGCUCACCAAGGCGACGAUCCUUAGCUGGUCUGAGAGGAUGAUC
rnacentral:rRNA from 1 species